GUAGGUGAACCUGCGGAAGGAUCAUUAAAAGAGAAUUUAGCUUCCGAGAGAAAUCAAAGAACUAAAAUCCCAACCCUUGUUUAUAUACAAAAAAACUUAUUGUUGCUUCGGCGAAUUGAUUAACUUCGUCGCCAGAAGAAACCCCAAACCAAACUCUUGUUUAAAAAUAUUAUGUCUGAAUUAUUUGAAAUAGGAUAAAACCUAUUAGAAUUAAAAUUACAACUUUCAACAACGGAUCUCUUGGUUCUG
rnacentral:misc_RNA from 1 species